GGGUUGUGAGGUUAAGCGACUAAGCGUACACGGUGGAUGCCCAGGCAGUCAGAGGCGAUGAAGGACGUGCUAAUCUGCGAUAAGCGUCGGUAAGGUGAUAUGAACCGUUAUAACCGGCGAUUUCCGAAUGGGGAAACCCAGUGUGUUUCGACACACUAUCAUUAACUGAAUCCAUAGGUUAAUGAGGCGAACCGGGGGAACUGAAACAUCUAAGUACCCCGAGGAAAAGAAAUCAACCGAGAUUCCCCCAGUAGCGGCGAGCGAACGGGGAGCAGCCCAGAGCCUGAAUCAGUGUGUGUGUUAGUGGAAGCGUCUGGAAAGGCGCGCGAUACAGGGUGACAGCCCCGUACACAAAAAUGCACAUGCUGUGAGCUCGAUGAGUAGGGCGGGACACGUGGUAUCCUGUCUGAAUAUGGGGGGACCAUCCUCCAAGGCUAAAUACUCCUGACUGACCGAUAGUGAACCAGUACCGUGAGGGAAAGGCGAAAAGAACCCCGGCGAGGGGAGUGAAAAAGAACCUGAAACCGUGUACGUACAAGCAGUGGGAGCACGCUUAGGCGUGUGACUGCGUACCUUUUGUAUAAUGGGUCAGCGACUUAUAUUCUGUAGCAAGGUUAACCGAAUAGGGGAGCCGAAGGGAAACCGAGUCUUAACUGGGCGUUAAGUUGCAGGGUAUAGACCCGAAACCCGGUGAUCUAGCCAUGGGCAGGUUGAAGGUUGGGUAACACUAACUGGAGGACCGAACCGACUAAUGUUGAAAAAUUAGCGGAUGACUUGUGGCUGGGGGUGAAAGGCCAAUCAAACCGGGAGAUAGCUGGUUCUCCCCGAAAGCUAUUUAGGUAGCGCCUCGUGAAUUCAUCUCCGGGGGUAGAGCACUGUUUCGGCAAGGGGGUCAUCCCGACUUACCAACCCGAUGCAAACUGCGAAUACCGGAGAAUGUUAUCACGGGAGACACACGGCGGGUGCUAACGUCCGUCGUGAAGAGGGAAACAACCCAGACCGCCAGCUAAGGUCCCAAAGUCAUGGUUAAGUGGGAAACGAUGUGGGAAGGCCCAGACAGCCAGGAUGUUGGCUUAGAAGCAGCCAUCAUUUAAAGAAAGCGUAAUAGCUCACUGGUCGAGUCGGCCUGCGCGGAAGAUGUAACGGGGCUAAACCAUGCACCGAAGCUGCGGCAGCGACGCUUAUGCGUUGUUGGGUAGGGGAGCGUUCUGUAAGCCUGUGAAGGUGUGCUGUGAGGCAUGCUGGAGGUAUCAGAAGUGCGAAUGCUGACAUAAGUAACGAUAAAGCGGGUGAAAAGCCCGCUCGCCGGAAGACCAAGGGUUCCUGUCCAACGUUAAUCGGGGCAGGGUGAGUCGACCCCUAAGGCGAGGCCGAAAGGCGUAGUCGAUGGGAAACAGGUUAAUAUUCCUGUACUUGGUGUUACUGCGAAGGGGGGACGGAGAAGGCUAUGUUGGCCGGGCGACGGUUGUCCCGGUUUAAGCGUGUAGGCUGGUUUUCCAGGCAAAUCCGGAAAAUCAAGGCUGAGGCGUGAUGACGAGGCACUACGGUGCUGAAGCAACAAAUGCCCUGCUUCCAGGAAAAGCCUCUAAGCAUCAGGUAACAUCAAAUCGUACCCCAAACCGACACAGGUGGUCAGGUAGAGAAUACCAAGGCGCUUGAGAGAACUCGGGUGAAGGAACUAGGCAAAAUGGUGCCGUAACUUCGGGAGAAGGCACGCUGAUAUGUAGGUGAAGUCCCUCGCGGAUGGAGCUGAAAUCAGUCGAAGAUACCAGCUGGCUGCAACUGUUUAUUAAAAACACAGCACUGUGCAAACACGAAAGUGGACGUAUACGGUGUGACGCCUGCCCGGUGCCGGAAGGUUAAUUGAUGGGGUUAGCCGCAAGGCGAAGCUCUUGAUCGAAGCCCCGGUAAACGGCGGCCGUAACUAUAACGGUCCUAAGGUAGCGAAAUUCCUUGUCGGGUAAGUUCCGACCUGCACGAAUGGCGUAAUGAUGGCCAGGCUGUCUCCACCCGAGACUCAGUGAAAUUGAACUCGCUGUGAAGAUGCAGUGUACCCGCGGCAAGACGGAAAGACCCCGUGAACCUUUACUAUAGCUUGACACUGAACAUUGAGCCUUGAUGUGUAGGAUAGGUGGGAGGCUUAGAAGUGUGGACGCCAGUCUGCAUGGAGCCGACCUUGAAAUACCACCCUUUAAUGUUUGAUGUUCUAACGUUGACCCGUAAUCCGGGUUGCGGACAGUGUCUGGUGGGUAGUUUGACUGGGGCGGUCUCCUCCUAAAGAGUAACGGAGGAGCACGAAGGUUGGCUAAUCCUGGUCGGACAUCAGGAGGUUAGUGCAAUGGCAUAAGCCAGCUUGACUGCGAGCGUGACGGCGCGAGCAGGUGCGAAAGCAGGUCAUAGUGAUCCGGUGGUUCUGAAUGGAAGGGCCAUCGCUCAACGGAUAAAAGGUACUCCGGGGAUAACAGGCUGAUACCGCCCAAGAGUUCAUAUCGACGGCGGUGUUUGGCACCUCGAUGUCGGCUCAUCACAUCCUGGGGCUGAAGUAGGUCCCAAGGGUAUGGCUGUUCGCCAUUUAAAGUGGUACGCGAGCUGGGUUUAGAACGUCGUGAGACAGUUCGGUCCCUAUCUGCCGUGGGCGCUGGAGAACUGAGGGGGGCUGCUCCUAGUACGAGAGGACCGGAGUGGACGCAUCACUGGUGUUCGGGUUGUCAUGCCAAUGGCACUGCCCGGUAGCUAAAUGCGGAAGAGAUAAGUGCUGAAAGCAUCUAAGCACGAAACUUGCCCCGAGAUGAGUUCUCCCUGACUCCUUGAGAGUCCUGAAGGAACGUUGAAGACGACGACGUUGAUAGGCCGGGUGUGUAAGCGCAGCGAUGCGUUGAGCUAACCGGUACUAAUGAACCGUGAGGCUUAACCUUACAACGCCGAAGGUGUUU
rnacentral:rRNA from 2 species